UGGGGAAUAUUGCACAAUGGGCGCAAGCCUGAUGCAGCCAUGCCGCGUGUAUGAAGAAGGCCUUCGGGUUGUAAAGUACUUUCAGCGGGGAGGAAGGGAGUAAAGUUAAUACCUUUGCUCAUUGACGUUACCGACAGAAGAAGCACCGGCUAACUCCGUGCCAGCAGCCGCGGCAAUACGGAGGGUGCAAGCGUUAAUCGGAAUUACUGGGCGUAAAGCGCACGCAGGCGGUUGAUUGAGUCAGAUGUGAAAUCCCCGGGCUCAACCUGGGAACUGCAUCUGAUACUGGCAAGCUUGAGUCUCGUAGAGGGGGGUAGAAUUCCAGGUGUAGCGGUGAAAUGCGUAGAGAUCUGGAGGAAUACCGGUGGCGAAGGCGGCCCCCUGGACGAAGACUGACGCUCAGGUGCGAAAGCGUGGGGAGCAAACAGG
rnacentral:rRNA from 1 species